rnacentral:rRNA from 1 species
GCAUCUAAGCGUGAAGCCGGCCCAAAGAUAAGAUAUCCCACUGAGAAAUCAGGUAAGAUCCCUUGAAGACUACAAGGUAGAUAGGCACGAUGUGUAAGUGGAGCGAUCCAUUCAGCAGGCGUGUACUAAUCGAUCGAGGGCUUGACCAG